UGAGAUUCCCCGGGGAGUCAAUUAGAAUUACAUAGCAACUGCAGGCAAGUGCAACAUCUGGACAUGGCAUUUUACCUAAGUUAGUGACAACUAACUUUGCCCUAGAAUCGUCUUUGCUGCUUUUACCACUCUGCUAACAAAGAUAAGGAGAGAGUUCAUAAGGAAAGGCCCACCCAUGUAAUCCAGAAAGAACUCUUUAUCUCAAGAUCCUUAGCUUAAUUACGGGAGCAAGGACCAUUUUUCAAAAUGAGAGGUUCGGUCCAGGAUUGGUGAACUCCAUUGCUGAAUGUCAGAGGCAUGGCAGAAGAACAUCAUGGCAGAAGGGAGUAAUAGACGGAAGCUGCUCAGCUCAUUGCAGCCAGGAAGAAGAGGAGAAAGCAAGGAGCCAGACACAAGCCAAGAGGACCCUUAUCAGAACAGAAGCAAUGCCAGUACAAUGCCCUUCAACCACCAAAACUGUGAGCUAAAUAAACCUCAGCACCCCUUUGAAGACGUCUCUGAGCCUGUCUGGAUGGUCCUGAAUAAAAUUUUAUCCACUAUGCUUUAAAUAUUAUUGAUUUUUUUUCCCCUUUAACACAAACACAAAUUACUUUGAACUCUGUGGGAAAUGGAAUAGAAACCAAAAUUAAAACUAUUAAUUUUUAUUGUUUUUGAGAAAAAGAUAGAUAAAAAUAGUAUAGAACAGUAAGUGAAUAAGCUCUGAGAAUGAUUGACAUAAAAUAAGUGGUUAAGAAUUCAGAGGAAGGAGGGAUUAACAUUAAUGAAGAAAAUAGUAAUGAAGAAAAGCCAGAUAGCGGCAGUCUUGGCAAUACAGAACUACGCUAUGUUCAUUGAUCUUAAGGAGCUUUGAUUUCUUUUUGGGAAGAAGUAGAAACAAGUCUGGAUUAUUAUAACUGGGCCAUAAUUGAAGACAUUUAAAUCUAAAAUUUGGAAAUUUGGACUAUGUUCUAUAGAAAAUAGUGAAAUUGGUUAAAGGAGAGGUGUGAGGUCCUUUUGAUUAAAAUAACAAUAGCUUACAUAUUAUUAUGCACUACAUUUUACAGAGUGGCUGAGCAUAUGCAGAGCAAGUGAUGAAGGGGGUGUAAAUAAAUAUUCAGAGCAAGGUCAUCCAGAGAAAAUUAAACUUACAAAGCAUUCUAAGCACCUGAUCAAAUAAAUGAAAAGAAAUCUUAAAGACGCAAAAAAAAAAAAAAAAAAAAAAAACAGGCUCAACUUUAAAGGGUCUAACUGGUUUCUUAACAUCUCUUAACAUCUUAACAUCUCUUAAGAUUAAAAAAAAAAAAAGUCUCAACCAGCACAUUAUAAAUAGGAGUGAGAGAAUGGGCAGAGAUGCCUCCAGUUGCUAGACCUAUCUUUGUACAGAAAUUGUUGCUUCCAAUAUCUCCACUGGGGCUCAGAACAAGUACCCAAACUAUGACCCUUGAAGGCCAAUGAAGAACAUUGGAGGACUUUAGAAAUGAGGUCCUUCUAAUCCUCUUCUGUUUGCUCACUGGCCCAUUUUCUCCCAGUAAGCGACACAUAGAAACCACAAUUCUUCCUCCCUAGGCAUGUCAUAGAAACUUAAGCUCCUCUCACUCAAAGCAAGCUACUAAGCCUAGCAAAAGCUGCUCUCUUAAGAGACCCUCAUUCCCGAGGAUUCCUGCCUCAUACUCAGGAGGAAGGAAUGGUACAGAUUAUCCAAGAGCAAUCUGAACAUGCUGGGUUCUAUUACUAUUACAUCAUAUUGUUUCAUUCAGUUCUGCUGCUACAUGGUGGUAGAUUCUUCUUUAAACCUAAGCAUAAAAAUCAAAAGUAUGUUUUGGGUUUGGGGUUCUUCAUUUGUGAAGACUACUUUGCCACAUAAAACUUUGAUUAAAUAAAUUACUUACAAUUUUGUUGACCUGUCUUUCAUUUAGGAGUCUCAACUGUGACCCUCAUGAUAGUUCAGGAAAAGAAUUGCACCUUUUCUCUUCUACACAGUCCUAAUUGACAUUUUGACUCACAGAACUAACUCCAUUUUUAUACUCUUUCACAAGAAACCUUGUGAUGAUAAUUGCCAUAUUUAUUUGUGACACUAUUCCUAAAAGCUGAGGUAUGGAAUCAGGCUAGGUAUCUGUCAACACAUGAAUGGAUAGAGAAAAUGUGAUAUUUAUGCACAAUAGAGUAGUAUCUAGCCAUAAUGGAACCAAAAUUGUGUCUUCUGCACCAAAAUGGACAGAACUGGAGAUAAUGAUAUUAAGCUAAAUAAACCAGACAUAGAAAGUCAAGUAUUUCAUGUUCUCUCUCAUUGUGUAGAAACUUAAAAAAGAAAAAAAAAAGUGACCCGAAGAUAGAGGAAUUACUACAGACUGAGAAGGGUGCCAGGGGAGAGCAUUAAUAGUAGAAGCCCAGAGAGACAUGAUCAAUGCAAAAUGUCUGCAUACACGGAACUCUCACAAUAAAUCUCAUUAAUUUGUACAGUUAAUAUAGGUUAAUAAUUAUAAUGUUUAAAAUACCAUGAAUUUUUUUUAGAGAAAGAAUGACAAGAUAAAAAUGUUCACCAACUAAUCCCAAUGACAUGUUAACAAAUUUUUAUUCUGAUAUACAAAACCAUCUCUUGAGAAAUUAAUGUGAAUCUGCCCUCAAGACCAAAAAAUGCCUUUAAAGGGUAUUUGGGAUAUGCCAAGCCUUGUAUUAAGGACGUUAUGGAUACUAAUUUAUGUAGUCCUCUGUUAUAAACAGAUGCUAAUACUCUCAUUAUCCAGAUUCUUUUAAAAUUAUACAUGACAGUAGAAUGUGUUUUGGCAGAAUAUACAUACGUAGAAUAUAACUUAUUUAGGUUCCCACUCUUAUGAUUGGACAUUAUAUGGAGUUACUCUGUUGGGUAUACAAAUACAAGGCUAGGAAAGUUAUAACCAGUUAAUUCUACUGGCUUUCCUAUUCCCCUCCCCACACCCUUCCUUUUGUUUCCCUUUGUCUAAUCCAAAGUACUUCUAUUCUUCACUUCCCUACCCUCCCUUAUUGUGGGUUAGCAACCACAAGUCAGAGAGAACAUUUAGCCUUUGGUUUGGGGGAUUGGCUUAUUUCACUUAGCAUAAUAGUCUCCAGUUCCAUCCAUUUACUGGUAAAUGCCAUAAUUUCAUUCUUAUUUAUGGCUGAGUAGUAUUCCAUUGUGUAUAUGACAUUUUCUUUAUCCAUUCAACCAUUGAGAGAUUCCUAGGUUGUUUCUAUAGCUUGGAUAUUGUAAAUUCAGCUGCUGUGAAUGUAGAUGUGGCUGUGUCACUGUAAUGUGCCGUUUUUAAUUAAGUCCACUGGAUAUAGACUGAGGAGUGGGACAACAGGGUCAAAUGGUGGUUUCCUUCCAAUUUUUCUAAAGUAUCUCCAUGCUGCUUUCCAUAAUCGGUUGCACAUUCUUGCCAACAUUUAUCGUUGCUUGUGUUUCUUAUAACUGCCCUUCUGACUGGGGUGUGAUGCAAUCUCUGUGUAGUUUUAAUUUGCAUUUCUCUAUUUGCUAGGGAUGUUGAACAUUUUUUCAUAUAUUUUUUGACCAUUCAUAUUGCUUGUUCUGUCAAGUGUUUGUUCAGUUCCAUUGCUCAUUUAUUGUUUGAGUUAUUUAUUUUUCUGGUGUUAAGGUUUUUUGAGUUCUUUGUAUAUCCUGGAAAUUAAUGCCUUAUCUGAGGUACUGGUGGUAAAGAUUUUCUCCCAAUCCUAAAAUCUCUGCACAUGUUCUUGAUUGUUUCCUUUUCUUUGAAGAAGCUUUUUAGUUUCAUACCAUCCCAUUUAUUGAUUCUUGAUUUUACUUCUUGUGCUUUAGGAGUCUUGUUGAGGAAUUUAAUUCCCAAGCCGACUUGUUGGAGAGUUGGGACUACUUUUUCUUGUUUUGUUUUGUUUGUUUUUGUUUUUGAUACCAGGAAUUGAACUCAGGGGCACUCAACCACUGAUCCAUAGCCCCAGCCAUAGCCCCAGCCCUUUUUAAUAUGUUACUUACAGAUAGGGUCUCACUGAGUUGCUUAGCACCUCGCUAAGUUGCUGAGGCUGACUUUGAACUCUUGAUCCUCCUGUCUUAGCCUCUCAAUCCACUGGGAUUACAAGUGCCCCCUCUACUUUUUCUUCUAGUAAUUACAGGGUCUCUGGUCUAAACUCUAGGUCCUUGAUCCACUUGGAGCUGAUUUUUUAACAGGGUGAGAUAUAGUGGUUCAAUUUUAUUCUAUUACAUAUGGAUUUCCUGUUUUCACAGCAUUUGAAAAACAAUUUUAGAGGAGGAAAAGUUUAUUCCAUGCUCACAAUUUCAGAGAUCUCAGUCCAUAGUAGCCAACUGCAUUGCUUUCUGUCCCAGGUGAGGGAAACAUCAUGGUGGAAGGGCAUGAUCAAGGAAAACAGCUCAGGGCAUGACAAUCAGGAAACAGAGGGAGAGCUCCCCUCACCAAGGACAAAAUAUCAAUCCUAAAGGCACAAUCACAAUGAACCUCUUCCAGAUAUACCCUUCCUGCCUACAGUUACCAACAUUUAAUCCCUAUCAGUGGAUUACUGCACUGAUUAAGGAUCUCAUAACCCAAUCAUUUCAUCUCUAAACUUUCUUACAUUGUCUGACAUAAAUGAUUGAAGAACACCUCAUAUCCAAACCAUAAUAUACCCUAUAGGGCAUUUUAUCCUUUUUUUUUUUUUUUGAAAUUAUCAAUAAAGUUCAUUGGUAGCAGUGUAAAUCAAUUACAAUUAAAAAACAAACUAAUUUUCCAUAUGAAUAAAUCUUAAUGCUAUUAAUUUCCUAUAACAUA